GCCGGGCGUGGUGGCUCACGCCUGUAAUCCCAGCACUUUGGGAGGCCGAGGUGGGAGAAUUAUUUGAGGCCAGGAGUUCGAGACCAGCCUGGCCAACAUGGUGAAACCCUGUCUCUACUGAAAAUACAAAAAUUAGCUGGGCGUGGUGGCGGGCGCCUGUAAUCCCAGCUACUCAGGAGGCUGAGGUGGGAGAAUCGCUUGAACCCAGGAGGCGGAGGUUGCAGUGAGCCGCGAUCCCACCACUGUACUCUAGCCUGGGCAACAGAAUGAGACCCUAUCUCA
ensembl:misc_RNA RN7SL455P RNA, 7SL, cytoplasmic 455, pseudogene